GAUUUUCAAUUCACAUUCCUACUCAUUUAUAAUCUGGACACUUCUGUAUGAAUUCAAGGAAUUAACAUGGAAGAGUGCUUUAACACCAUCUAAUCUUGAAGUCUGUGUUCCAGAUUCAGAUUGCAUUAUGAUCCACCUCCAUUUUGGAAAUCCAAAGAUGAGUCAAAGCUUUUCAAUUACGUCACUUCCGUGUUUUCAGAUUCUUCAAGCUGCCCUACCAUGAUGAUAGAAAGCUUCUGAAGGAAAAAGAUACUG